UGUAGGGGUAAUAUCCGUAGAUAUGCAGAGGAACACCGAAAGCGAAGGCAGCUUACUGGACCAGUUCUGACGCUCAAGAACGAAAGCGUGGGUAGCGAACGGGAUUAGAUACCCCGGUAGUCCACGCCCUAAACGAUGAACACUAGGUAUUGGAGGUCUCGACCCCUUCAGUGCCGACGCAAAUGCAAUAAGUGUUCCGCCUGGGUAGUACGAGCGCAAGCUUAAAACUCAAAGGAAUAGACGGGGACCCACACAAGCGGUGGAGCAUCUGGUUUAAUUCGACAAUAAGCGAGGAACCUUACCAAGGCUUGACAUCCCGAGAAGAUCGCCGAAAGGUGAUUGUGCCGUUAGGAACUCGGUGACAGGUGCUGCAUGGUUGUCGUCAGCUCGUGCCUUGAGGUGUUCGGUUAAGUCCGUGAACGAGCGCAACCCUUGUCUCAAGUUGCAUAUUUCUUGAGAGACUGCCGGUUUCAAAUCGGAGGAAGGUAAGGAUGACGUCAAAUCAGCAUGGCCCUUAUGUCUUGGGCGACACAGGUGCUACAAUGGCCGGUACAAUGGGCAGCGAAGGAGCAAUCUGGAGCAAAUCCCCAAAACCGGUCCAAGUUCGAAUUGAAGGCUGCAACUCGCCUUCAUGAAGUUGGAAUCGCUAGUAACCGCAUAUCAGCCAUGGUGCGGUGAAUCAGUUCCUGGGUCUUGUACUCACCGCCCGUCAAGUCAUGAAAGAUGGGGGUGCCCGAAGUACCCUUAGCUAAUUUAGCGGGGUCCUAAGGCAAAACCAUUGA
rnacentral:rRNA from 1 species